UCUAGUGUCCCCGCACAGAACACCAACACAGUCCCUGUAUGCCGUAUAGGUGUUCGGUGGUUGAAACCUCAAUCAAGUGGUGUGUUGCGAUGUUACAGUGUUCUAUUACACUGUAGAUACGUUACGUUCUAUGAAGAAGUGCGUUGCGUGAAAGUUGCCGGCAAGAAUCAUGCACCCGUACGUUGCAGAUAUCGGAAUCAAUUUGGAUGCGGUGAACUCUGGCUUGAGAGCCGUGAAAGCCCUUCGAUGCACUGUAGGUGAAGUGUUUCGUACUUUGACGGAUGGGGUUCCGUGUUCCCAGGGUGAUGAAAAGAAAGAGAAGAAUUUUAUUCGGGAGCUUCAGGGAAUGCUAGGCGCAGUUAUCUCUCGUAUAAGGGAGUUGGAAACAGCUGUUACACUGCUUGGGUCUCCUAAUGCACCUCUCAGCCUGGGAAGCACUGGCCACCUGUGUCAAGAUCCAACUUUGGACAGGACAUCCUUGUAUACAGACAUGAUUAAGUCAUAUCGGUGGUUUGACAAAGUUCAUGAGCACACAAGCCAUGCAUCGGCAAUUUUAACCCAGAAUGGACUGAAAAGAUCUAACAGCUCGUUAUUUCCAACAAAACGGUUAAGAAGACCACAUAGCAAUGGCCACAAUUUUUCUCCUCAGAAUGUGGAUGCAUUCAUCAGCAGUUUACAAAGGCAAUUCGUGGACAUGUCGAUUGAGAUUCUCAGGCCAUGUGGCAACUCUGCUGUUCUAAAGAUUACACUAAGCCGGACCAUGAGAGCACUGGUGUGUCUUCGGGGCCUUAUCAUUGAAUGGGUGCUGGUGAAGGCAUUCAAUGAAGACUUCUAUACUGAUGACGACCAGCUUGACAUGUGGUCGAAGUCUCGGUACCGAGUUUUUCAUAAGGUAACGGAACAUGCCAAUGCAGCAAUGCUUCAUUUCUUUUCUCCACAACUGCCGGACUUGGCCGUCAAAUCCUUUCUGCAGACGUGGCUCCACAGUUACCUGCAUUUGUUCUCAGCGUUUUGCCGCAGGUGUGGCACACGACUACAGCAUAGCAUGCCUCCAACAUGGAGGGACUUGCGCAACUUAGACGUUUACCAUGAAACCUGCAGGCCGUGAUCAUUCUACUGACAAUCUUGUGCUGUGCGCAUCUGAUUAUGUAGCCUGUGCACUUUUGAUUUCAUGGGACUUAUUUGCCACAAUAGCAUGUGUGAGCUGCAAACCACAGCGCCAAAGGCUUUUCAGGCAUUGCUCGAAAUUUAUCUCCUCCUGCUUGCCAAACCUUGAAAUCAUUGCCAAGAUUGUUUUGUUUCACAUGUACCAGCACUGCUUGUGUGCACAUGGGCAUCACCUUCCGUAAAUUUUACCUUGGAUCAAUGUCUCAAUUGAAAAACUGUCAAUGAAUGUAGAGGAGGUAUAAUAACUUUAUUAAAAUAUUGGCUGCAAUUUAAGGCUUCUCUUAUACACCCACUGGUGUCACGGUGGGGAGUUCUAGGGAGGGGUUGUACAGUGUCGGUGGCCUUGUCCUUAGCAGUGUGUAGAAUAUUUGAGUGAUGCUGUCAAUUUGAUCAGUUUGUAAAAAUCAACGACCAAUGAAUAUUACGUAUGCUAAUAUGUUGUGUGGACUGUGACGUGCAAAAUUGGUCAUGUGCUUUGUUUAUUUAAUUUCGUGGGUUAUUCCUACAAAAUUUGGUAAAAAUGGCUGGUGAACUUCAGUUCAAGAGAAUAAAUAAAAGCAAAUGGCUGAGAUCCUUUGUGUUGGAUUCAUCUAAGGCAAGGUAACUUGAAUUUGUCAUAAUAGAUAUCCCGACUGUUAUCCUGACGUUAAAUUUAGUUAAAUUGGCAUCAAGAACUUGCCUAAUUUAUAAAUAACUUGUAAAAUUUGACACCUUCAUUUUGUUCAGUGACUUGCUGCAGAAAAGCACAGCAGGAAUACAUGUUCUCAGUAGAUGAGUUGUCAAUGGUCAAGUAGCCACUUUCACUACCAUUGCCUUCCAGUCCUAAAUAAGAAACAUUGAAUGAAGGUCGAACUUGGUCAGUUGUGUUGCCACAUGCACAUAAAUUGUCAGCAGUCGCGCAUUACCAGAUUUUAAUGGAAACUAACAGACUAAUUUCUGUUUUUUCUUGUUAAUAAUUGAUCUAACGAGAAAACGAGCUGUUAAAUUUGCACUUUACUUCAAUUACUGGAUCUUGCUUUUGUGUUGCUUUUUUUAUUUGGUCACAUGUUCUUGUCGAUGCAGUAUUCAGUUUAUAAAAGGAAACUUGUGCACUUGUUAUCAUCUAUACAUAAAAAUACUGCUCGAGAGUGCAUGUUCAUCUCCCAGCCACAGCACUGCAUUUCACCGGAGGUGAAAUGCAAAGAACAUCUCUGUGCUUAGACUUAGUUGCACAUUGAAAAACCCCAGGUAGUUAAACUUAAUUCAGAGUCUCGAUCUCAGGGGCGCCUCAUAAUCAUAGUUUCGGUGCAUAAAAUUUGAGCACUUAUUUGAAAAACAAAUAUCAAGAUGUUUGGAUGUGAAAUUUCGCCUGCACUGUGAACUGAAUUCCAUGCAUGAAAACUGAAUCUGACAAUUCCGCAUGCUGUGGUGCCUUCUCCUACAUGCACGCUUGAGUGCAAUAAACUGAGUGUCUGCUAAUACAAUAGGGAUAUACGAAGGAGGAAAAAUAAGAAACUGUUGUGAAUCUGUUUUUGAUAAAACUUUUAUUUACCUCUCACUUUUUUUUUCUUUUUUUUUGUCAUAAAAAGGGAAGUAAUAUCUUACGGUAGUCUUCUGUCGAUUCUGGUUCCUGCAUGGAGAAAUUUGAAAAAUGCUAUUAUGAACUUGUUAAUAAGGUACCAAAAAGAAACACUGAGCAUUGAUCAAGCACUUGAUGAAUUUUGUAGCAAGAUUGUGUUUACAAUACAAGAAGUAAUAAAAAAAUAAAUUUUGGGUGAAAAUCACAGCAGUAGCAAACAGUUCGAUGUUUUGGAUUCUAUGUAGUAUCAUAUUUAGAUCCUUAUGGUGCAGUAAACAUUCUUGAAAGUUGGCAAGUCAAGUCUAUGGCUCUCUUUGAAUACAAUAUAUGAAAUCUUUUGCAGUAAAAGAAAUUGCUGACUGGUCCCGGACAUACACUGUAGAAAACUGGCAUUUGCACUGGUUGGCACAGGAGCUCAAAAGUAAUGCACUCGUUUUUGGCUCUUGUGCGUCUUCUGGCUUUUCAAGCUUUCUCUAACACUAGGAGAGGUUUCAUGUGUAAUCUAGCAUGACGUGACUAAGCUGAUCUGCUCUUUCUUUUUAGAAUCCAUUUAAUGCAUGAGAACUUGGAUAAAUAUGAAGGCAUCAGGGAUGAAAAGAUGGUAUUUAACUUACGCAAGCCCCUUUGUCAUUCCGUAGGACUGCACUAGACCAGUAGUACGUAGGCUUGGUCUCCUGCACGUAGGUGCCUCAUCAAAUAAUCAAUGUCUGCAAGCACUGUGUUUGUUGCACACGAGAAUGCAACUUUCAGAUUUUAAUCAAAACACCAAGGAUCAAAGGUUUGUUAUUUACUCACCUUUUGCUUCAUCACUUCUGGGUUAGCACACCUCCACUCGUCCUGCCCCUGUUCAUAUUUUCAUCAAAAAAAAUAAAAAAAGAGUAGUCACUCAAAA